rnacentral:rRNA from 1 species
CCUACGGGGGGCAGCAGUGAGGAAUAUUGGUCAAUGGCCGAAAGCCUGAACCAGCCAAGCCGCGUGAGGGAUGACUGCGCAAUGCGUUGUAGACCUCUUUUGCCGGGGGGCAAAAGGCCUGACUCGUACGGUCCUGAGAGUACCCGGCGAAAAAGCAUCGGCUAACUCCGUGCCAGCAGCCGCGGUAAUACGGAGGAUGCGAGCGUUAUCCGGAUUUAUUGGGUUUAAAGGGUGCGUAGGCGGCAUUAUAAGUUAGUGGUAAAAUCUUGGGGCUUAACCCCACUGAGCCGUUGAAACUGUGGGGCUAGAGAACAGACGAGGUAGGCGGAAUGCGUGAAGUAGCGGUGAAAUGCAUAGAUAUAACUUAGAACACCGAUAGCGAAGGCAGCGUGCCGGACUGAGUCUGACGCUGAUGCACGAGAGCAUGGGGAGCGAACAGGAUUAGAUACCCGUGUAGUC